CAGAAUGUUAAAAAUAGCUGAAAAAUAGCAUUUAAGUACUCUAUAAUAUAGUACUGUACACACAAUUAACAUAUUACAUACAAUAAACACUUGGAAUUAAUAUAACAAUUUCCCUGGUGGAUUUUGUCCAUUAUAUCAAACAUCCGUUAUAUCGAGGUCCUAGAAUUAAAAGAUGAAUAAAGUGUGCAUUGUGAAAACAGUUUACUGUAAUUUCCGGCAUAUAAGGCACACUUUUGCAGAAGAAAAGUCUUGGAAAAUCAGCCUCCACCUUAUAUGCUCAAGGUCAGGGUCAAGGGUAGACUCUGGGUUAUUGGCAAGUGGUGUUUUAUAAAUUGACAUGCAGUUCAUUAUAGUAAUAAAGUUGUACUGCAGUAGUUCCCCCCACCUGUAUCCAUGGGAGAUAUGUUCAUGCAGUUCAUUAUAGUAAUAAAGCUGUAAUGCAGUAGUCCCUUGUAUCUGAGGGGAAUACAUUCCAAGACCUACCAUGGAUACCUGAAACCAUGGAUAGUAGCGAACCCCAAAACAUGUUGUUUUUUGUUUACAUACAUAACUGUGAUAAAGUUUAAUUCAUAAAUUAUGCACAAUGACUCAAGAAUUAUCACUUUUUCACUGAUGGGAAGUACUUCAAGGCUUGUCUUAGGCUUUGAAAAACUACCAUUAUCACUACUUUGGUGCUUGGGGCCAUUAUUAAUUAAAAUUAGGGAUUAUUUUAAGGCCAUGGUAAACCGUGGAUAACUGAAACUGCUGAAACUGAAUCCGUAGAUACGGGGGUUCCACUGUAUUCUCAAUAUGCUGGAAAAUAUGGUACUGAGAACACACCUGUCAGGUGAUACUGUAACUCAGUGCAAAAGCAUUUGGCUUAUAACUGAAGGGACCCAGGUUUAAUCUCCAGGCAAGGUGAGAGUUAUGGUCAAGUCUCCUUACAUCUGUUGCCUUCAUUCAACUAACUUUAAACAGGUGUCCAGGUGUUGGCCAACUGGUAAGGGAGUGCAUCCUGAGGAAGAGCACCAUUGGUGUCCAAUAGAAAUAAGCUGUACUGCUUGGCUAGGCUUUCUAGCAUUAUCCUGGGUUACUAACCCUCUGGGAUACAUGAAUCAAUGAACGUCUUCAUCUCCCAGAUUAUUGUUAAGGGAUUAUAGGUUAGACAACAAUACAGAGCACCAAGUUUAAAGGAAGAAUUAAGUAAUGUACUCUACUGGUUGAUAAGUAAGAUACUUGUGCAACCUUUGGGUAACUUUAUUCUGCAAAUGUUUUGCCAGCCAGUGGCUUCAGUCCGAUACAGAGAAAAGUGGAAGAUGAGGAGGAGUUUGAGGGACUGAUAACACUGGACUGAAGAAGCCACUGACUGGAGAAACAUUUCUGCAAUAAAGAUACCCAAAUGUUGCACAAGUGUGUCAUUUAUCAUAUAUUGUAACAGUAUUAUAGUAACACUCAUAUAAACAACUGUUACACUAGCAGAAAACUUUAUUAAGUACAGUUGUGGACCAACAUUUUUGUGACCUUGAAGCUUGAACUGUUGUGGGGUCAUGUGACCUUGAAGCUUGAACUGUUGUGGGGUCAUGUGACCUUGAAGCUUGAACUGUUGUGGGGUCACCUUCACAACCAGCAAUGGCUAGCAACAUGAUACUUUAAUGACCUUUUAUUUUUAUUUUAAAAACCCUUUCUCAUAUAGUAGACCCAAAAUUUUUAAGCAAUGUGGAUUAAAGUCACUUCUGGGGCCCCUCAGGGAUUAGGGGCCCUGAAGCUUAAUCUCCAUUAGUUUUGUAGUAUAUCUUCCCCUGUUUAAGUACCUUAAUAAAGUACCUUAAUAAAGUUUCUACAAGUUUAUUAAAUUUAAACAAGGUGUAACCUUGUAUAAAUAAAAGAUGUGCUGGUAUAAGUAUGCAAUAAAAACAAGAGGGCAG